rnacentral:rRNA from 1 species
AAAUUGAAGAGUUUGAUCAUGGCUCAGAUUGAACGCUGGCGGCAGGCCUAACACAUGCAAGUCGAGCGGUAGCACAGGAGAGCUUGCUCUCUGGGUGACGAGCGGCGGACGGGUGAGUAAUGUCUGGGAAACUGCCUGAUGGAGGGGGAUAACUACUGGAAACGGUAGCUAAUACCGCAUAACCUCGCAAGAGCAAAGAGGGGGACCUUCGGGCCUCUCGCCAUCAGAUGUGCCCAGAUGGGAUUAGCUAGUAGGUGAGGUAAUGGCUCACCUAGGCGACGAUCCCUAGCUGGUCUGAGAGGAUGACCAGCCACACUGGAACUGAGACACGGUCCAGACUCCUACGGGAGGCAGCAGUGGGGAAUAUUGCACAAUGGGCGCAAGCCUGAUGCAGCCAUGCCGCGUGUGUGAAGAAGGCCUUCGGGUUGUAAAGCACUUUCAGCGGGGAGGAAGGCGGUAAGGUUAAUAACCUUAUCGAUUGACGUUACCCGCAGAAGAAGCACCGGCUAACUCCGUGCCAGCAGCCGCGGUAAUACGGAGGGUGCAAGCGUUAAUCGGAAUGACUGGGCGUAAAGCGCACGCAGGCGGUCUGUUAAGUUGGAUGUGAAAUCCCCGGGCUUAACCUGGGAACUGCAUUCAAAACUGACAGGCUAGAGUCUUGUAGAGGGGGGUAGAAUUCCAGGUGUAGCGGUGAAAUGCGUAGAGAUCUGGAGGAAUACCGGUGGCGAAGGCGGCCCCCUGGACAAAGACUGACGCUCAGGUGCGAAAGCGUGGGGAGCAAACAGGAUUAGAUACCCUGGUAGUCCACGCUGUAAACGAUGUCGACUUGGAGGUUGUGCCCUUGAGGCGUGGCUUCCGGAGCUAACGCGUUAAGUCGACCGCCUGGGGAGUACGGCCGCAAGGUUAAAACUCAAAUGAAUUGACGGGGGCCCGCACAAGCGGUGGAGCAUGUGGUUUAAUUCGAUGCAACGCGAAGAACCUUACCUACUCUUGACAUCCAGAGAAUUUGCUAGAGAUAGCUUAGUGCCUUCGGGAACUCUGAGACAGGUGCUGCAUGGCUGUCGUCAGCUCGUGUUGUGAAAUGUUGGGUUAAGUCCCGCAACGAGCGCAACCCUUAUCCUUUGUUGCCAGCGAUUCGGUCGGGAACUCAAAGGAGACUGCCGGUGAUAAACCGGAGGAAGGUGGGGAUGACGUCAAGUCAUCAUGGCCCUUACGAGUAGGGCUACACACGUGCUACAAUGGCGUAUACAAAGAGAAGCGACCUCGCGAGAGUAAGCGGACCUCAUAAAGUACGUCGUAGUCCGGAUUGGAGUCUGCAACUCGACUCCAUGAAGUCGGAAUCGCUAGUAAUCGUAGAUCAGAAUGCUACGGUGAAUACGUUCCCGGGCCUUGUACACACCGCCCGUCACACCAUGGGAGUGGGUUGCAAAAGAAGUAGGUAGCUUAACCUUCGGGAGGGCGCUUACCACUUUGUGAUUCAUGACUGGGGUGAAGUCGUAACAAGGUAACCGUAGGGGAACCUGCGGUUGGAUCACCUCCUUACCAAAAAGA